UGAGGAAUAUUGGUCAAUGGGCGGAAGCCUGAACCAGCCAUGCCGCGUGCAGGACGACGGCCCUACGGGUUGUAAACUGCUUUUCCGGGGGAAGAAUAAGGGCGACGCGUCGCCCGAUGCCGGUACCCCGGGAAUAAGGAUCGGCUAACUCCGUGCCAGCAGCCGCGGUAAUACGGAGGAUCCGAGCGUUAUCCGGAUUUACUGGGUUGAAAGGGUGCGUAGGCGGGCCCCUCAGUCAGCGGUGAAAGUCUGCGGCUCAACCGUAGGAUUGCCGUUGAUACUGGGGGCCUUGGAGUCGGGCGAGGCGGGCGGAAUGCGUGGUGUAGCGGUGAAAUGCUUAGAUAUCACGCAGAACGCCGAUUGCGAAGGCAGCUCGCCGGGCCGAAAUCGACGCUGAGGCACGAAAGCGUGGGGAUCGAACA
rnacentral:rRNA from 1 species